GUAAUGUCACUGGCUUCACUAGGCAUUUUAGGUUUUCCCAAUUUAUAUUCGCCUUAGAUGUUCUAUCAGUCGUAAGUCCGUCAUCUCGUAGGGUCGGGCCUCGCGAGCCUCGCCAGUUAUACCUUUAAAUAGGUGUUGGAGUCAUGAGAGUCAAAGCGUAUCUCAGUUGCCAUCAUUCUAGAUGUGUGGUUUUCGUAUGUUGUGUGGUUUGCUUGUCAACCAUUUGGGGCCCCGUAUUG